rnacentral:misc_RNA from 1 species
UUUCCGUAGGUGAACCUGCGGAAAGAUCAUUAUCAUGUAAUUCAGUCCCCUUGGCUGUGUUAUAUAUAUACCCACUCUGUGUACCUUCUCCUGUUGCUUCCGCUGGGUGUGUAAUUCGCCCGGCGGAAGGGUAAAAAUAACCUCUGAGUAUUGAUGAAAUCUCUGUCUGAACCGAAUAGAAAGAAAAAUGUUAAAACUUUCAGCAACGGAUCUCUUGGUUCUC